UCCAUAAACCCUAAUUUUAAUGUUCAUUCAUACAAAAAAAACACAUCUAAAGAACAAAAAAAAUUCAGAAGUAUUGUUCUAGUGUUCUUCAUCUUCCCUGGAUUUUCUUACAUCUCUCUCAAAGAACGUCUCUCUCCAAAUUCUCUCUUCUCUCUCACACUAGCCCACUACAGUCUCUUUCAGUCUCACUCGAAUCUCGUCUCAGUCACACUCGCCGGCGUCUCCACUUGUCGCGGCCUUCCCUGGGAUCCUCGUCGCCGACGAUAGAAGCAACUCGUCGGGUCGUCGUCGCUCGUCGUCUUCUGGUUUCGGGACCUCGCCGUCGCCGAGUCACCGUAGACCGUAGUCCGUUGGUUUGGGUAAAGUGGGGAGAGAGACGCCAGUUCAUUGCCCAGAACAAGCUAGGAAUGUCACAAUACACAUAUUUCAUAACAAUUUGAUCACCGGUGAAAACUCAUACAGCAAACUCUCUUGUUGAUUUGAGGAGCUGUUUAAUUUAGCCAACUCAGAUUUAAGUGCCACUUCUCAGUACCAAUUUAGCAUUACCGGUUUUGAGCUCUAUAAUGAAUAGGUCCUGUUCUCUUUUACUUACUGUAUACAACUUUUCUGGUAU